rnacentral:rRNA from 1 species
GGCCGGUAUGAAGGGCAUCACGAAAGCCCCACUGUCUUAAAAGGACUCUCCAUGAAAUUGAAUUCGUAGUGAAGAUGCUACGUACAUAUUGUAAGACGAAGAGACCCCAUAGAGCUUUACUUUAAAUUUGUGGGGCUUAAAAAAUUUAAAUGGGGAGUUUAGAUUAGGUGGGGCCGUUCUGGAAAAUGAAACACCACCCUUUUAUUGUAAAAAAAGCUAACCCGACAGGAGAAGGGCAAGUUGGAAAGUUUGGUUGGGGCGACCGCCUUUUAAAAAGUAACGGAGGUGAACUUAUGGCCCGUGGUUAAUAGCUUGUGGCCUGACUGCGAGGGGUACCCCCAAGCAGGCACCCCCGGUGGGCUAUAGGGACCCGUCUUCUUGGAGUGGAAAAGAAGGCGAUCAACCAAUAAAAACCAACAUGGGG